GACGAACGCUGGCGGCGUGCCUAAUACAUGCAAGUUGAGCGCUGAAGGUUGGUACUUGUACCGACUGGAUGAGCAGCGAACGGGUGAGUAACGCGUGGGGAAUCUGCCUUUGAGCGGGGGACAACAUUUGGAAACGAAUGCUAAUACCGCAUAAAAACUUUAAACACAAGUUUUAAGUUUGAAAGAUGCAAUUGCAUCACUCAAAGAUGAUCCCGCGUUGUAUUAGCUAGUUGGUGAGGUAAAGGCUCACCAAGGCGAUGAUACAUAGCCGACCUGAGAGGGUGAUCGGCCACAUUGGGAAUGAGACACGGCCCAAACUCCUACGGGAGGCAGCAGUAGGGAAUCUUCGGCAAUGGACGAAAGGCUGACCGAGCAACGCCGCGUGAGUGAAGAAGGUUUUCGGAUCGUAAAAAUCUGUUGGUAGAGAAGAACGUUGGUGAGAGUGGAAAGCUCAUCAAGUGACGGUAACUACCCAGAAAGGGACGGCUAACUACGUG
rnacentral:rRNA from 1 species